rnacentral:lncRNA from 1 species
GUAGAUUUCAGAGGUUAACGUUGCUGCGAGGAUUGGAGGUGACGCAUGUCAGCGGCCUGGCUUGGGUAAGGGCCGCACAGAAAGCAAAGCAUGUUCGACGAAGCUGGGUUUCAAACCCACUUAGAAGCUGCGUGACCUUGAGCACUUGCUUCCCUCUCCUGCAGAGAUGAGAUCGACAUGUCCACACGGGCUCGAGCAGACAUCUCACAUGUGACACAGCCAGGACCUGCAGCCUGACCCCCAGCCCUCCCCCCUCAGAAGGUGCCAGCUCCAUCCUUCCAGAUGCUCCAUCCCCAAACCGUGGAGUCAUCCUUGACGCCUCUGUUCCUUGUGCCCCAUGUCCAGUCCAUCUGCAAAUCCUACUGGCUGUACCAUCACGAUACGUCCAGAAUCUGACGGCUUCCCACCUCCUCCACCGCCACCGCCCUGGCCUGAGUCCCCGCCAUGUCACCUGCUGGACUGUAACAGCUUCCUCGCUGGCCUCCCUGCCUCCUCCCUUGUCACCUAUAGUCGAUACUCAGGCAGCCGCCAGAGUGAUCUGCUCAAACAAGUCACAUCAUGGUCCUCCUCUGCCCAGAACAUCCCCACGGCUCCCCGUGUCACUUGCAGCGGCUGCCGAAUUCCUCACACAGCCUGAAAGGCCCAAUGUGACCUGGCCCCUAUCUCGGACCUGCCCUCCCUCCCUCACUGCGUUCCUGACACUGGUCUCCUCGCUGUUUCCUGAAGCCACCAGACACAUCCCUGCCUCGGAGCCUUUCCACUGGUUCACCGGCUGCUCCCUCAGUCUGGAACAUUCUCCCUCCUAAUAUCCACAUUGUCACCUCCUUCUUUUGCUCAGACACCACCUUCUCUGACCACCCUGUUUAAAAUCACAGUCCACGCCUUGCCUGCACUCCUGAUGCUGCUGCCACUGCUCCACUGUUUCAUUUUUCCAGAACACUAACAUAUGACAAAAUCCACCUAUUAUAUUUAUUGCUGAUUGGCUGUCUCUUUACACAAGAAAAAAGCUCCAUGAAGGCAAGGCUUUUGUCUAUUUUGUUCACUUCAUAGCCUCAGUGCCCAG